rnacentral:rRNA from 1 species
GGAAAAGAAACCAACCGGGAUUGCCUCAGUAACGGCGAGUGAAGCGGCAAGAGCUCAAAUUUGAAAGCUGGCCCCUCCGGGGUCCGCGUUGUAAUUUGCAGAGGAUGCUUCGGGCUCAGCCCCCGUCUAAGUGCCCUGGAACGGGCCGUCGGAGAGGGUGAGAAUCCCGUCUGGGACGGGGUGCCUGGGUCCAUGUGAAGCUCCUUCGACGAGUCGAGUUGUUUGGGAAUGCAGCUCUAAAUGGGUGGUAAAUUUCAUCUAAAGCUAAAUACUGGCCGGAGACCGAUAGCGCACAAGUAGAGUGAUCGAAAGAUGAAAAGCACUUUGAAAAGAGAGUUAAACAGCACGUGAAAUUGUUGAAAGGGAAGCGCUUGCGAUCAGACUCGCCUGCGGGGUUCAGCCGGCAUUCGUGCCGGUGUACUUCCCCGUGGGCGGGCCAGCGUCGGUUCGGGUGGCCGGUCAAAGGCCCCGGGAAUGUGUCGCCCUCCGGGGCGUCUUAUAGCCCGGGGUGCCAUGCGGCCUACCUGGACCGAGGAACGCGCUUCGGCUCGGACGCUGGCGUAAUGGUCGUAAGCGACCCGUCUUGAAACACGGACCAAGGAGUCUAACAUCUACGCGAGUGUUUGGGUGGCAAACCCAUACGCGCAGUGAAAGCGAACGGAGGUGGGAACCCUUCGGGGCGCACCAUCGACCGAUCCUGAUGUCUUCGGAUGGAUUUGAGUAAGAGCGUAGCUGUGGGGACCCGAAAGAUGGUGAACUAUGCCUGAAUAGGGCGAAGCCAGAGGAAACUCUGGUGGAGGCUCGCAGCGGUUCUGACGUGCAAAUCGAUCGUCAAAUUUGGGUAUAGGGGCGAAAGACUAAUCGAACCAUCUGGUAGCUGGUUCCUGCCGA